rnacentral:lncRNA from 1 species
UGUUCGGACUUUUGUUUCAACUCUUCAGUCUUUUCAAAUUGAAAGGAUACCAAGCAGAUGCUUUAUCAAAAUUCCUUUUCUCAUUUGGGAUGAUUCGACUCUUCUUUACAUCCAAUGCAGUAGCGGUACACUGAUCACAAUAAAAAAUCUCUACUUUGACCUCGGCCGAAGGCAAGGAGUGUUUGGCCAAAAGACGGCGUUGGAUCGACUCAACAGAAUCCCCCCUAUUACCUCAUCCGGAUAGGGGACCACUGGGAGGGUCCGAUUCGAUGGACCAGCUUCCUCCACCCCGGAGCCAUGAGGAGUUACUUACCCCUUUACACUCACGGGAUAGAUAG